rnacentral:rRNA from 1 species
AUACGUAGGUGGCAAGCGUUAUCCGGAUUUACUGGGUGUAAAGGGCGUGUAGGCGGGACUGCAAGUCAGAUGUGAAAAUUAUGGGCUCAACCCAUAACCUGCAUUUGAAACUGUGGUUCUUGAGUGAUGGAGAGGCAGGCGGAAUUCCGUGUGUAGCGGUGAAAUGCGUAGAUAUACGGAGGAACACCAGUGGCGAAGGCGGCUUACUGGUCCAUUACUGACGCUGAGGUGCGAAAGCGUGGGGAGC